CAGCAGCCGCGGGAAUACAGAGGGUGCGAGCGUUAAUCGGAUUUACUGGGCGUAAAGCGUGCGUAGGCGGCUUUUUAAGUCGGAUGUGAAAUCCCUGAGCUUAACUUAGGAAUUGCAUUCGAUACUGGGAAGCUAGAGUAUGGGAGAGGAUGGUAGAAUUCCAGGUGUAGCGGUGAAAUGCGUAGAGAUCUGGAGGAAUACCGAUGGCGAAGGCAGCCAUCUGGCCUAAUACUGACGCUGAGGUACGAAAGCAUGGGGAGCAAACAGGAUUAGAUACCCCGGUAGUCCCCUGUCUCUUAUA
rnacentral:rRNA from 1 species